UCGCUCGUAGUGUAAUCCGGCCGCACGGCUGGUUCUGGUCCAGCAAAUCCAGGUUCGAAUCCUGGCGAGCGAA
rnacentral:tRNA from 1 species